GUGAGGAAUAUUGGUCAAUGGGCGAGAGCCUGAACCAGCCAAGUAGCGUGCAGGAAGACUGCCCUAUGGGUUGUAAACUGCUUUUAUGCGGGAAUAAAGUGAGGCACGCGUGCCUUUUUGUAUGUACCGCAUGAAUAAGGACCGGCUAAUUCCGUGCCAGCAGCCGCGGUAAUACGGAAGGUCCGGGCGUUAUCCGGAUUUAUUGGGUUUAAAGGGAGCGCAGGCGGGUUAUUAAGCGUGUUGUGAAAUGCGGCGGCUCAACCGUCGAAUUGCAGCGCGAACUGGUUACCUUGAGUGAGUACGACGUCAGCGGAAUUCGUGGUGUAGCGGUGAAAUGCUUAGAUAUCACGAAGAACCCCGAUUGCGAAGGCAGCUGACGAGUCCUUAACUGACGCUAAUGCUCGAAAGUGCGGGUAUCGAACAGGAUUAGAAACCCUAGUAGUCC
rnacentral:rRNA from 1 species